rnacentral:rRNA from 1 species
UAGCAGUCGAGCGGACAGAUGGGAGCUUGCUCCCUGAUGUUAGCGGCGGACGGGUGAGUAACACGUGGGUAACCUGCCUGUAAGACUGGGAUAACUCCGGGAAACCGGGGCUAAUACCGGAUGGUUGUUUGAACCGCAUGGUUCAGACAUAAAAGGUGGCUUCGGCUACCACUUACAGAUGGACCCGCGGCGCAUUAGCUAGUUGGUGAGGUAACGGCUCACCAAGGCAACGAUGCGUAGCCGACCUGAGAGGGUGAUCGGCCACACUGGGACUGAGACACGGCCCAGACUCCUACGGGAGGCAGCAGUAGGGAAUCUUCCGCAAUGGACGAAAGUCUGACGGAGCAACGCCGCGUGAGUGAUGAAGGUUUUCGGAUCGUAAAGCUCUGUUGUUAGGGAAGAACAAGUGCCGUUCAAAUAGGGCGGCACCUUGACGGUACCUAACCAGAAAGCCACGGCUAACUACGUGCCAGCAGCCGCGGUAAUACGUAGGUGGCAAGCGUUGUCCGGAAUUAUUGGGCGUAAAGGGCUCGCAGGCGGUUUCUUAAGUCUGAUGUGAAAGCCCCCGGCUCAACCGGGGAGGGUCAUUGGAAACUGGGGAACUUGAGUGCAGAAGAGGAGAGUGGAAUUCCACGUGUAGCGGUGAAAUGCGUAGAGAUGUGGAGGAACACCAGUGGCGAAGGCGACUCUCUGGUCUGUAACUGACGCUGAGGAGCGAAAGCGUGGGGAGCGAACAGGAUUAGAUACCCUGGUAGUCCACGCCGUAAACGAUGAGUGCUAAGUGUUAGGGGUUUCCGCCCCUUAGUGCUGCAGCUAACGCAUUAAGCACUCCGCCUGGGGAGUACGGUCGCAAGACUGAAACUCAAAGGAAUUGACGGGGCCCGCACAAGCGUGGAGCAUGUGGUUUAAUUCGAAGCAACGCGAAGAACCUUACC